rnacentral:rRNA from 1 species
CUACGAGUCGCAGCAGUGGGGAAUAUUGCACAAUGGACGAAAGUCUGAUGCAGCAACGCCGCGUGGAGGAUGACACAUUUCGGUGCGUAAACUCCUUUUAUAUGGGAAGAUAAUGACGGUACUAUAUGAAUAAGCACCGGCUAACUCCGUGCCAGCAGCCGCGGUAAUACGGAGGGUGCAAGCGUUACUCGGAAUCACUGGGCGUAAAGAGCGUGUAGGCGGGUAGUUAAGUCAGAAGUGAAAUCCAAUAGCUCAACUAUUGAACUGCUUUUGAAACUGAUUACCUAGAAUAUGGGAGAGGUAGAUGGAAUUUCUGGUGUAGGGGUAAAAUCCGUAGAGAUCAGAAGGAAUACCGAUUGCGAAGGCGAUCUACUGGAACAUUAUUGACGCUGAGACGCGAAAGCGUGGGGAGCAAACAGGAUUAGAUACCCCCGUAGUC